rnacentral:rRNA from 1 species
UACAGAGGGGGCAAGCGUUGUUCGGAAUUACUGGGCGUAAAGGGCGCGUAGGCGGCCUGUUAAGUCGAACGUGAAAUCCCCGGGCUCAACCCGGGAACUGCGUCCGAUACUGGCAGGCUUGAAUCCGGGAGAGGGAUGCGGAAUUCCAGGUGUAGCGGUGAAAUGCGUAGAUAUCUGGAGGAACACCGGUGGCGAAGGCGGCAUCCUGGACCGGCAUUGACGCUGAGAAGCGAAAGCAUGGGGAGCGAACAGG